rnacentral:tRNA from 2 species
GGGGCGGUAGCUCAUUUGGUAGAGCACCACGUUCGCAACGUGGGGGUAGGGAGUUCGAUCCUCCUCCGCUCCACCA